rnacentral:rRNA from 1 species
CCUACGGGAGGCAGCAGUGGGGAAUAUUGCUCAAUGGGCGGAAGCCUGAAGCAGCAACGCCGCGUGGGGGAUGAAGGUUUUAGGAUUGUAAAAUCCUUUUUUUCGAGAAGCUUAGGACGGUAUCUAACGAAUAAGCACCGGCUAACUACGGGCCAGCAGCCGCGGGAAUACGGAGGGUGCAAGCGUUACUCGGAAUCACUGGGCGUAAAGAGUGCGUAGGCGGGGUAAUAAGUCAGGUGUGAAAUCCUGGAGCCUAAAUACAGAACUGCAGUUGAAACUGGUCCGCUGGAGUGUGGGAGAGGUAGGUGGAAUGCGUGGUGUAGGGGUAAAAUCCGUAGAGAUCGAGAAGAAUACUCAUUGCGAAGGCGACCUGCUGGAACCUCACUGACGCUGAUGCACGAAAGCGUGGGGAGCGAACAGGAUUAGAUACCCGGGUAGUC